CUGGAAACGGGGUCUAAUACCGGAUAUGACUGUCCAUCGCAUGGUGGAUGGUGUAAAGCUCCGGCGGUGCAGGAUGAGCCCGCGGCCUAUCAGCUUGUUGGUGAGGUAGUGGCUCACCAAGGCGACGACGGGUAGCCGGCCUGAGAGGGCGACCGGCCACACCGGGACUGAGACACGGCCCAGACUCCUACGGGAGGCAGCAGUGGGGAAUAUUGCACAAUGGGCGAAAGCCUGAUGCAGCGACGCCGCGUGAGGGAUGACGGCCUUCGGGUUGUAAACCUCUUUCAGCAGGGAAGAAGCGAAAGUGACGGUACCUGCAGAAGAAGCGCCGGCUAACUACGUGCCAGCAGCCGCGGUAAUACGUAGGGCGCAAGCGUUGUCCGGAAUUAUUGGGCGUAAAGAGCUCGUAGGCGGCUUGUCACGUCGGUUGUGAAAGCCCGGGGCUUAACCCCGGGUCUGCAGUCGAUACGGGCAAGCUAGAGUUCGGUAGGGGAGAUCGGAAUUCCUGGU
rnacentral:rRNA from 1 species